AGGAAGUUGACGGGGCCCGCACAAGCGGUGGAGUAUGUGGUUAAUUCGAUGCAACGCGAAGAACCUCACCUGGUCUUGACAUCCCGGAGACCCUUAGGAAACUAGGGGUGCUUCCAUCUGGAAGAAUCUGGAGACAGGUGCUGCAUGGCUGUCGUCAGCUCGUGUCGUGAGAUGUUGGGUUAAGUCCCGCAACGAGCGCAACCCUUGCCUUUAGUUGCCAGCAGUUCGGCUGGGCACUCUAAAGGGACUGCCGGUGUUAAACCGGAGGAAGGUGGGGAUGACGUCAAGUCCUCAUGGCCUUUAUGACCAGGGCUACACACGUACUACAAUGGCCGAUACAAAGGGCAGCGACACUGCGAGGUGAAGCCAAUCCCGUAAAAUCGGUCUCAGUCCGGAUUGGAGUCUGCAACUCGACUCCAUGAAGUUGGAAUCGCUAGUAAUCGUGGAUCAGCAUGCCACGGUGAAUACGUUCCCGGGCCUU
rnacentral:rRNA from 1 species